UUUCACAAUACUCAAAGAUGCUUAACAGAGACAAAAACAGUGUCAAUUAAAGUGAGUCAAAACAUACAGAAUAAUUAUAAACAAAAUCAGUAAAAGCAAGACAGACAAGCAUGAAAUGUGGAUAAAUCAAACAUUAAAUGCAGAUUUUAAAAGGUGUGUCUUGAGGUGGGAUUUGAAAGUGUUGAGGCCAGUGGGGUCUCGCAGAGGUUUGGGGAGUGAGUUCUAGAGGGUGGGGGCAACAACAGAGAAGGCUCUGUCCCCCUGGGUCCUGCGCUUGGUCCUGAGAGGGGCGGAGAGGAGGUUGGUGUCCGAAGCGUGGAGGUUACGGGAGUGAGUAUACGGGUGGAGCAGGUCAGCGAGGAUGUGGAGGGCUUUGAAGCUGAGGAAGAGCAGUUUGUACUGGAUUCGGUGAGGGGUGAAUGAGGGUUUGAGCGGCUGCAAAAGAGAGAGAUGGGCAGAGACAGGCGAUGUUAUGGAGAUAGAAGAAUCUGGUUUUGGUUAAUUAACGUGGGGUUCAAAAGUGAGGUUUGAGCCGGAUAUCACGCCGAGGUUGCGGAUGUGAGGGGAGGGAGACAGGGUGGAGUUAUAAUAAUAAUGAUAGGGGGGAGGGUUUCUGUGCAACAUCUGCCACCUGCCAUAUUGACAAUAGUACUGGCUGUAUCUAGGGCUGUCACAAUCGUGACAUUGAUGAUAAAUUGUCAUACAUAUAUUUGCGGUCAACAGCGGUUACAGUAUUACUAUUACUGUAUUUUUUUUCAUAUGAAAGCUUGAUCUCAAAUACACACCCUCAACUUGGUGAUCCAGCAGCACCCACACUUCACUAAACAUGACAUCUCUUAGAGGACAGUUACAGCUACAUCACUUUGCUAUACAUUACUGCAUUAAACAUAUCAAAUCACAUCUGAAGAUGAGUGCUAUGGAAGAGUCACACGUUUUUCUGUUUAUGUUAUUACACGCUGUAGGACAAUUAAUUUACUAUGACUUGGGUCUUACUUAAAUAGUUUUGUCCAUGGGCCUCAUUCACCAAGUGUUAGGAAAACAUUUGGUCUCAAAAUGCACUUCAGCUGUUUUCACAAGGAUUAUGACAUUCGUCAUGUUUUCUUAUUCUGGAUUUGUGCUCAGGUAAGAACAGAAUCUACAGACACUUAAGAGCACGUUGACACUGUGCUGACAUGUUUGUGCAAAACUCUUGGUUUUGUCUUUUCUUGUCUUUGUCUUGUCUUCAAUUCUACAGUUGUAUAAUAUUAUAGAAUUUAAAUUGCAAUAAUAUUUUACACUUUAAUAUAUUUUUUAUAUAAAUUUUUUAGUGAAAAGCAUAAUGGUCUUCAAUUAACAUCAGUUAUAAUAAUGGGAACUGUGCCAUCUAAUAUUAGUGAUUGAAAAGUGACAAAGCAAUGUUCUGAAAUCAAAUUCCCACUGUGGCUUGAAAUUUGAUUUCCUUUUGGUUCACUUUGUGUGGAAGUCAAACUGAAAGUACAUCUGAAAAGUAAAGUAGGAAGAAGCACAGUUGUCCUCAUGGAGGAGGAGUGGAUUGAAAUCCAAAAUGAAAUUUAAUCUGCUCAUUCACUGAAUGCUUUACAAAACAGCUGAAAGAAUGGACACUGAGUAAGUGUGUAUACAGUUUGAAGUUUCUGGUUUCUGAAUUUCAGUGUUUUUUAUUUCCUUUUAUGACGGUAUAACAUUAAUUUUUUUUAUGUCUCUUUAUUAGAUGUAUCAAGAUGGGACCUUAGUAGCAUACACAUGUGAUUUCCUUUUGCUGGCCUAGACUAGUCUAGCCUAGACUUCAAAGGCCAUAGUCACAAAACUCCUUGCUGUCACUAGGAGCUCCGAGAGCUUCUCCUAGUGACAAAAUUAUGUAAAUUCUCAGAAUUAUGAUGCUUUAUAAGAAUUUCUUAGUGAAAGUUAAGGUCAGGUCCUUGUAAAGAUAAAAGGUAUCCACAAAGCAUCUUAGCCCACAAGAGAACUCCGAAGGUGACAAACUGUUAAAAGCACUGACUUUCAGGUGGCUAAUAGUUUUCUUAAGCAGAGGAGACAAUGGUGGAAAGACAUCUGCUCUAUCUAUCAGAACGUGUGUUACAUGUGAGUCAGGUUUGAUGUGACAUCCAGUGGGGCUGGUGUGCCAUAGAAUCACCUCCGGCUACAUGACCGUCCUCGCCCACAGAACACCUGCUGAAUCUACCUUGCUGGAUGCCAUUGUCAUGUCCUCGCUGUCACAGAGCUGGUAACAUGGCAUGGGAAAAAAAUGCCUCAUGUUGGAUGCAAGAGCCAACAGUCUCAUGCACUGCCACCAUCUGAGACAGUGAAGACUCAAAGAAUUGACUUCAAUUUUGACUGAAAUGCCGCCACAACAACUGGAAAACUUCUUCUCAAAGGGGCUGAGAAAGUAGGCUUCACUUCAAAACUGAGGCUCAAGAAUGGAUUGAUACCAGCAGUCAGUGACCCAACCAGAAGAAAGAACUGAGCCUGGAAAGCCCUUGAAAAGUCAUUGAGUUGUAUGUUUAUGAAGGAACUGGAACCCUGACAUACAGAAAUAAUGUCAGCAGCCCAGGUUUCUCCUGUCCCGAGCAUAUAGUCUCAUGUUGCAUCACAACACCGAGCCUCACGAGAUGGAUCUGCAGUGAGACUUGGCUGGCCCUGCCCCUGAGUCUGCCAUGUUUCACAGAUGAUCUGAGGGACCCAGCGCUCAGUCCUGAAGCUCCUGCUUGAUGGGAUGAACCCCCCAGACUCUCCUCGCAGUAUUAGAAAGCAUCAGAGGAGGAAAAUGUUGCUGGGCACGUGUCAUGCCUCCAGUCAUGCCUCAGAGCUACUUUACCAGCUGACACAAUAUCUACACAGUUCACAUCAAAGUGUGCAUUAUGUAAUACCCAGUGUAUAUUUCACUGUCAUUGAUUAUGAAUAAAGUGCUUUAUUUUUUAGGAGA